rnacentral:rRNA from 1 species
CCCUUAGAUGUUCUGGGCCGCACGCGCGCUACACUGAAUGGAUCAACGUGUUUUCCCUUCCCGAGAGGGACGGGUAACCCGCUGAACCCCAUUCGUGGUAGGGAUCGGAGCUUGCAAUUGUUCUCCGUGAACCAGGAAUUCCCAGUAAACGCAAGUCAUCAGCUUGCAUUGAUUACGUCCCUGCCCUUUGUACACACCGCCCGUCGCACCUACCGAUUGAAUGGUCCGGUGAAUCUUUAGGACUGUGGCUGAGGCCUUGCCUUGUGCGGGUCUGGCCGUGGGAAUUUAGUUAAACCUUACCAUUUAGAGGAAGGUGAAGUCGUAACA